UACGGAGGGUGCGAGCGUUGUCCGGAAUCAUUGGCGUAAGAGCGUGUAGGCGGCCCGGUAAGUCCGCUGUGAAAGUCGGGGGCUCAACCCUCGAAUGCCGGUGGAUACUGUCAGGCUAGAGUGCGGAAGAGGCGAGUGGAAUUCCUGGUGUAGCGGUGAAAUGCGUAGAGAUCCGGAGGAACACCAGAGGCGAAGGCGGCCUACUGGGCUGCACCUGAC
rnacentral:rRNA from 1 species